rnacentral:rRNA from 1 species
AGUGAACGCUGGCGGUAGGCCUAACACAUGCAAGUCGAACGGCAGCACAGUAAGAGCUUGCUCUUACGGGUGGCGAGUGGCGGACGGGUGAGGAAUACAUCGGAAUCUACUUGUGCGUGGGGGAUAACGUAGGGAAACUUACGCUAAUACCGCAUACGACCUACGGGUGAAAGCAGGGGAUCUUCGGACCUUGCGCGAUUGAAUGAGCCGAUGUCGGAUUAGCUAGUUGGCGGGGUAAAGGCCCACCAAGGCGACGAUCCGUAGCUGGUCUGAGAGGAUGAUCAGCCACACUGGAACUGAGACACGGUCCAGACUCCUACGGGAGGCAGCAGUGGGGAAUAUUGGACAAUGGGCGCAAGCCUGAUCCAGCCAUACCGCGUGGGUGAAGAAGGCCUUCGGGUUGUAAAGCCCUUUUGUUGGGAAAGAAAAGCAGCAGGUUAAUACCUCGCUGUUCUGACGGUACCCAAAGAAUAAGCACCGGCUAACUUCGUG